GACGAACCGUCCGAACGUUAUUCGGAAUCACUGGGCUUAAAGGGUGCGUAGGCGGCGCGGAAAGUUGGGUGUGAAAUCCCUCGGCUUAACCGAGGAACUGCGCCCAAAACUACCGUGCUCGAGGGAGAUAGAGGUGAGCGGAACUUAGGGUGGAGCGGUGAAAUGCGUUGAUAUCCUAAGGAACACCGGUGGCGAAAGCGGCUCACUGGAUCUCUUCUGACGCUGAGGCGCGAAAGCCAGGGGAGCGAACGGG
rnacentral:rRNA from 1 species